UGUUCCCCCCCUUGGCGGCACCUCGGCCGUGAGUCACCGUCACGUUUCUCACGUCCCCGGGCAGGCGUGAUUCAUGCCCAGCCCAGCGGCAGGGCCGCGGCCGGCGGCACGCGCUCGGUGCAGGCAGCGCGCCGCAGCCACCGGGGCAGGGCAGGGCAGGGAGGGGGGACAGGGGUGACCCCAAACCCCCCCACGCUGCACCCCGGGGCUCACAGAGCACCCACGGGCUCGCUCAGCCCCGUUGUGGCUCCCCAGCACCCCGGCACCCAAGUGGGUGCCCCGUGCCGCUCGGUGUCCUCGCCGGUGCCACGGGCGCACCGCGGAGCCGCCGGCUGCCACCCCGCAGGGUGGGCGCUCGCCCCGGCACCCCCGCGUCCCGCUGCUGCUGCUGGUGGGGGGGUGGGAGAGGGGGGGGGGACACACACACUGAAAUUCCACCUGUGGCAGCCGGGCCGGCUCCGGUUACGCCGGGAACGCGCCGCUCCGGUUACACCUCCCGCAGCCGCCGCGCCAUUCUUCCCCGGGAACAGGUGCCCCGGCCCCUGCUGCGGCCCCCGGCCCCGCCACGGCCCCACAGCCCCGCACCAGCCCCGCCACCCUUGGGUGCUGCCUCAACAGAGGCCUGGCAGCAGCUUGCCACCCCCUCCCAGCCCCCCCUCUGCAGCUCCCGGAGCUGGCAGCACCCACGGGUGCCCCGCCGCCGCCUGCGCAUGGAGAGGGCACCCAUGGGCACCCCGCGGCACAGCCCCAACCCUCGGGGGAAAAAACCAGGGACCUCAUAUCCCAGGGAGGGACUCAGGGGAGCCACGGUGCCGGAGAGGGAAUCACGGCACCGGGGUUGGAUCACGGCACCGGGGGGGGAUCCCGGCGAGCAGCGGGCGAGCCCCCCGGUUGUUUUUAGCGCUGGACGCGGCGCGCGGCGCCCUGGGAACGGCGUGCCGGGAACAGCACGGCCCCAGACAGCCCUUUCUGGCUCGGCGACAGCCGGCAGACAAGUGCAGCUGGCUGCACCGCCGGCCCCGCGGCACGGGGCCGCUCGGGACACGGCACCCGGGGCCGGCGGGGGUGGCCGCAGCGGGAUGGUGGCCGUGCGCCCGUGCCCGCUCGGUGCCACCGAGCCCCUCGCGCUCCCCUCUGGCACGGCGGCACCGGGCCGUGCCGAGCCUUGGGGGGGGUUUAGGGGGGGGACGAUGGCUUGAGCCAGGCACUGAAGCACCCCCAGGGGCUCCGGGGGCUGCACCCCGAAGGUGCCACCCGUUCGGUGCAGGGCGCACGGGGGGCGUCGCGGUGCCGCGUCCCCUGGCACGGCCUGGCGCAGCCGGGGGUGGCCGCACGCGGCCCCUGCCGUGAGCCCCCCCCCCCCCCCCCCCCCCCCCCCCCCACCACCCCCCUCUCCGUGCUAAGCCUCCUCCAGCCGCAGGGAGAUUAACCCAUUUUCCGUAAUCAGCACAUGUGUCACCGCAGAUACGAUCGCAGCCCUUCCCCCAGAGCCCCGGGGGCCCGGCGGUGGCACCGCCGCGGGGUGCCCCACGGCACCACCGGGAGCGAACCGAAAACGCCGCGGUGGGGACCCCAA
rnacentral:lncRNA from 1 species